CUGCAUCGCCUGAUAGACUUCCGAGAACGCCAGCACCUGCGGAAUGGCGCCAAGCGCGCGCAUUUCGGCUUCGAGAACCUUCGACGACUGGAUGCGCAUCUUCAGGCCCUGGAAGUCGGCGACCUUAUGCAUCGGCUUGUUGGCCGUCAUGAUCUUGAAGCCGUUGUCCCAGUGCCCGUGAUGCCUUUCGGCUCGAGCUUCGCCAGAAGGCUCUUGCCGAUCGGGCCCUUGGUGAUGCGUCCGAGAGCCGCCUUGUCCGGAAGGAUGUAGGGCAGAUCGAACACCUCGAAUUCCUUCACGCCAAGCGGGCC
rnacentral:misc_RNA from 1 species